GACGAACGCUGGCGGCGUGCCUAAUACAUGCAAGUCGAGCGGAAGUUGGAGAGCUUGCUCUUCAACUUUAGCGGCGGACGGGUGAGUAACACGUGGGCAACCUGCCCUGCAGAUCGGGAUAACUCCGGGACACCGGUGCUAAUACCGAAUAGUUUUCGCCACCUCCUGGUGGCGUACGGAAAGACGGUUUCGGCUGUCACUUCAGGAUGGCCCCGCGGCGCAUUAGCUAGUUGGUGGGGUAACGGCCCACCAAGGCGACGAUGCGUAGCCGACCUGAGAGGGUGAUCGGCCACACUGGGACUGAGACACGGCCCAGACUCCUACGGGAGGCAGCAGUAGGGAAUCUUCCGCAAUGGACGAAAGUUUGACGGAGCAACGCCGCGUGAGUGACGAAGGUUUUCGGAUCGUAAAACUCUGUUGUGAGGGAAGAACAAGUACCAAUUAACUACUGGUACCUUGACGGUACCUCACCAGAAAGCCACGGCUAACUACGUGCCAGCCGCCGCAGUAACAC
rnacentral:rRNA from 1 species